GGAUAGCAAUUUGAUCAUUUCAUAUUUUUAAAAUGAUGUGAAUAAUACUGUUACGUUUCAGAGAUGAAGUGUAGAUUUUAAAAAAUAAUAAUUAUGAAUGUAAUAAAUAUAAAUUUUAGAAAAAUUUUAUAUUUUAUUUUAUAAAAUUUGAUAGAAGAAAAUUAACUGAUAGAACCAUGUCACUCGAGCAAAUAAGAUAAAAAUGCUUU
rnacentral:lncRNA from 1 species